rnacentral:rRNA from 1 species
AGAGUUUGAUCAUGGCUCAGGACGAACGCUGGCGGCGUGCUUAACACAUGCAAGUCGAGCGAUGAAGCUCCUUCGGGAGUGGAUUAGCGGCGGACGGGUGAGUAACACGUGGGUAACCUGCCUCAUAGAGGGGAAUAGCCUUCCGAAAGGAAGAUUAAUACCGCAUAAGAUUGUAGUUUCGCAUGAAACAGCAAUUAAAGGAGUAAUCCGCUAUGAGAUGGACCCGCGUCGCAUUAGCUAGUUGGUGAGGUAACGGCUCACCAAGGCGACGAUGCGUAGCCGACCUGAGAGGGUGAUCGGCCACAUUGGGACUGAGACACGGCCCAGACUCCUACGGGAGGCAGCAGUGGGGAAUAUUGCACAAUGGGGGAAACCCUGAUGCAGCAACGCCGCGUGAGUGAUGAAGGUCUUCGGAUUGUAAAACUCUGUCUUUGGGGACGAUAAUGACGGUACCCAAGGAGGAAGCCACGGCUAACUACGUGCCAGCAGCCGCGGUAAUACGUAGGUGGCAAGCGUUGUCCGGAUUUACUGGGCGUAAAGGGAGCGUAGGUGGAUAUUUAAGUGGGAUGUGAAAUACUCGGGCUCAACCUGAGUGCUGCAUUCCAAACUGGAUAUCUAGAGUGCAGGAGAGGAAAGUAGAAUUCCUAGUGUAGCGGUAAAAUGCGUAGAGAUUAGGAAGAAUACCAGUGGCGAAGGC